UGCAGCGACGCCGCGUGAGGGAUGACGGCCUUCGGGUUGUAAACCUCUUUCAUCAGGGACGAAGCGCAGGUGACUGUACCUGUAGAAGAAUGACCGGCCAACUACAUGACAGCCGCCGCGGUAAUACGUACGGUCCCAGCGUUGUCCGGAAUUACUGGGCGUAAAGAGCUCGUAAGUGGUUUGUCGCGUUGUUCGUGAAAACUCUCAGCUUAACUGUGGGCGUGCGGGCGAUACGGGCAGACUUGAGUACUGCACGGGAGACUGGAAUUCCUGGUGUAGCGGUGGAAUGCGCAGAUAUCCGAGGAACACCGGUGGCUAAGGCGGGUCUCUGGGGAGUAACUGACCCUUAGGAGCGAAAGCGUGGGGAGCGAACAGGAUUAGAUACCCUGGUAGUCCACGCCAUACACGGUGGGUACUAGGUGUGGGUUUCCUUCCUUGGGAGCCGUGCCGUUUCUGCCGCAUUAUGUACCCCGCCAGGGGAGUACGGCCGCACGGGUAAAACUCAAACAAAUUGACGGGGGCCCGCACAAGCGGCGGAGCCCGUGGAUUAAUUCGAUGCAACGCGUAUAACCUUACCUGGCUUUGACAUGCACAGGAGGUGCCUACAUAUAGGUAUUCCC
rnacentral:rRNA from 1 species